rnacentral:lncRNA from 1 species
CAAAUUAUAACUACUAUACUAAAAUUUAUUGAUAUUCGUGCACUCAUGCUCAGAAGUCAGACCAAGGCUCUAUUUUUUUUAAUACUCUAGAAGUAUCUACAUCUUUCUCCACUCUUCCUAUAGAAAAAAAAAAAAAAUCUCAUUUGCAUCAGUUUUCUUAGAUUUUCAAGACUAAAACGGUUGAGAGUGUUUCCAGGUAUGUUUUAUUCACAUUUUUGCUUAAAUCUCUUCGGUUAACUUUUUCAAUUUUCAAUUUUGAAUGAUCAUUUCUUUUUUCUUGCUCUUAAUCAGUCCUUUUCAAAUAUAUUCAAAGAUGGCUUCUGUUCACUUUGUUAAUUGGAUAUUACAACCCUAGGUCGUUCCAAAAAUAUGAAUUGAUUAAAAAAAAAAAAAAAAAAAUCAGAACUGUGUGUUUUCUUCUAUCUUAUAUUUUCUUAAAAUUAUCUCUCACUUAGAUUAUGGAUAAUUGAGAUUUCUAUGUUCUGUUGUGCUCGUGUUUAAUGUUAUAACAAAGCCUUCAUCUUUAGUAUUGAGACACUCAUAUAGCUAAAGCAUCACGACAAAGGCAGAUACAAAAAGUACAUAAAGAUUCAAACUUUAUGAACAAAAACCAGUAUAGCAAAGUGAAGAACCCCACAUACAAGAAAGUUGGGAUAUGUCCUACUAACCUUUUUCUUUUUUUGUAUCUCUAAACAAGACAAAAACAAUAGAUAAACACUUGCUUUUAGGCUUAAGCCUAUAUCUUCUUUCUUCUACCUUUAGAUAAACAUUGAUUUGGUACAGCAGUAGAGUACUUAAUUUAAUCCCAUUAAUUUAGGGAACCCCCAUAUAACAAAUUUUCCUAAAAGAACGUUAAAGCUGGAGAAGAAUUUCAAUAAUUUGAUUUGAAUUUAUACUGCAGAGUGUACCGUUGCUGCUGUGUAGAAAACAGUACUGCUGGUGGGUGAGUUUUCAACGCAUGGCUCCCACUGUGAAUUUGACUAUUUAUGCUUAA